rnacentral:lncRNA from 1 species
AAGUCUUGGAGGACAGUCACCAAGAACUGCUUUGGAUUCGGGAACAGAGCUGCCUAACCCAUCCGCAGCCCUGGGGUCCUGCCCUGUUCCUCUGGCCCCUUCAGGGCAGCGGGGGAAGCAGGGAAAACAGCCUGUCAGAGAUGGCAGAGAAACCGAGCAAGAAUAAUUAUCCUGGAAAAGACUUUCAGAAGUAACCACCAGAAACUUCGAGUCCCCAGAUCCAAACAGCUGAGAAUGUGGGGCCUGAGCCACGCUCUGACUCCACUCCCACCACAUGAGGAGAAACAAGAGCUGCUUUUCUGGAAGACUUGAACAACCCCUGCUGUGCUCUGGAAGGACACAUAUCCAAAGAACAACAGGACUCAGAUGAAAACUGGAUGACAAUUAGAAGAACUAUUUCUCAGGGCUGGGCGCAGUGGCUCACACCUGUAAUCCUAGCACUUCAGGAGGCCGAAGCCGGUGGAUCAUGAGGUCAGGAGGUCAAGACCAGCCUGACCAACAUGGUGAAACCCUGUCUCUACUAAAAACACAAAAAUUAGCCGGGCAUGGUGGUGCAUGCCUGUAACCCCAGCUACUCAGGAGGCUGAGGCAUGAGAAUCGCUUGAACCUGGGAGGCAGAGGUUGCAGUGAGCUGAAAUCACGCCAUUUCACUGAAGCCUGGGCAACAAGAGCAAAACUCUGUCUCAAAAAAAAAAAAAAAAGAAAGAAAAAGAGAAAAGAAAAUAAUGCCGGCCAGAGGCGGUGGCUCACGCCUGUAAUCGCAGCACUUUGGGAGGCCGAGCCAGGCGGAUCACCUGAGGUCAGGAGUUUGAGACCAGCCUGACCAACAUGGAGAAAGCUCGUCUCUACUAAAAAUACAAAAUUAGCCUGGUGUGGUGACGCGUGCCUGUAAUCCCAGCUACUCGGAAGCCAGAGGCAGGAGAAUCGCUUGAACCCGGGAGGUGGAGGUUGCGGUGAGCUAAAAUUGUCCCAUUGCAAUGCAGCCUGGGCAACAAGAGCAAAACUCCGUCUCAAAACAAAACAAAACAAAACAAAAAACAAGAAAGUAAUCCCCAUCUCCCUCACUGUAAAGGGUUUCAAUGAACAAGAAGAUAAUUUGGACAAAGCAAUCUAUGAAACAAAGAGAAACAAGCUAUGAUGACGUUGAUAUGUGACUUGGGUAUUGCACAUGAACAAUAAUUAGUAUGUGAGUAGGCAAAAUAGCUAGGCAUGGUGGUGCUCACCUGUGGUCCCAGCUACUCAGGAGGCUGAGGUGGG